GACGAACGCUGGCGGCGUGCUUAACACAUGCAAGUCGAACGGAAAGGCCCUGCUUUUGUGGGGUGCUCGAGUGGCGAACGGGUGAGUAACACGUGAGUAACCUGCCCUUGACUUUGGGAUAACUUCAGGAAACAGGGGCUAAUACCGGAUAGGAGCUCCUGAUGCAUGUUGGGGGUUGGAAAGUUUCGGCGGUUGGGGAUGGAAUCGCGGGUUAUCAGCUUGUUGGUGGGGUAGUGGCUUACGAAGGUUUUGACGGGUAGCCGGCCUGAGAGGGUGACCGGCGACAUUGGGACUAAGAUACGGCCCAGACUCCUACGGGAGGCAGCAGUGGGAAAUAUUGCACAAUGGGCGGAAGCCUGAUGCAGCAACGCCGCGUUCGGAAUGACGGCUUUCGGGUUGUAAACCGCUUUCGCCUGUAACGAAGCGUGAGUGACGGUAAUGGGUAAAAAAGCACCGGCUAACUACGUG
rnacentral:rRNA from 1 species